ACUAGUCAACUGCAUGGCCGAGGGCAGCAACGCCGGCGGUUUCCGAACAGUUCCCACAAGCGAUCUUGCACAGCAAUGCCAAUGCACUUGAAACCACCAAAGACGUCGAAACACCCAAGAUUGACGAGUUGAGCUCAUUUUGAUUUCGGCCGGCAAUUUUUAUUUGUCGAGUGUGUGGCCAUUUCUCAACGUUACGAUUUAAAAAGAGUAUCAUUGAAAAGAUAAGGCCAAAAAAAUGUGGGUUUCCGGUUUCCCGACCCUAUCUAGCUUUUGGACGUCGAAAUCCCGACCCUAAACUUUUUUUAUUGGAUCAUGCAUGUAAAUGUUUCCACUUAGAGGAAAAAGUUUGCGGAAAAUUGAAAUUUGAGGCAAUAUUAGGGAAAUUUAUCUUUGGAUGUGGAAGCACUGACUAAACAAAAUGGCGUCCGCUUGUUCGGAAAAUUAAAAAAAAAGGUUUAAAAAAAAAAGUUAAAACCGACCUACCCUACCUAAGUUUUUAUAAGAAGAAACCGAAAACCCACAUUUUUUUACCUAAAUGACUGUUCUUUCGUCCUAUGUAAAAAUUGAAUUGUUUAGCCAUGACUUUUAUGAUGCACGACAGCCUGUCGAAUUUCCACUGCG